rnacentral:rRNA from 1 species
AUAACGGUCCUAAGGUAGCGAAAUUCCUUGUCAGGUAAGUUCUGACCCGCACGAAUGGCGUAACGAUUUGGGCGCUGUCUCAACAGCCCACCCGGCGAAAUUGUAGUACUGGUGAAGAUGCCAGUUACCCGCAACUAGACGGAAAGACCCCAUGGAGCUUUACUGUAGCUUAAUACUGAGGAUUGGUAAUUGAUGUACAGGAUAGGUGGGAGACAUGGAAACAUUGGCGUCAGCCAGUGCGGAGUCACCCUUGGGAUACCACCCUUCAAUUGCUGGUUUUCUAACCUGCGGCCGUGAAUCCGGUCGGGGGACACUGUUAGGUGGGCAGUUUGACUGGGGCGGUCGCCUCCAAAAAGGUAACGGAGGCGCUCAAAGGUUGGCUCAGCACGGACGGAAACCGUGCCUCUGAGUGUAAACGCAUAAGCCAGCCUAACUGCGAGGAUGACGGUCCGAGCAGUAACGAAAGUUGGAGUUAGUGAUCCGGCGGUAUGAGAGUGGAAUUGCCGUCGCUCAACGGAUAAAAGCUACCCUGGGGAUAACAGGCUGAUCUCCCCCAAGAGUCCACAUCGACGGGGAGGUUUGGCACCUCGAUGUCGGCUCAUCGCAUCCUGGGGCUGAAGUAGGUCCCAAGGGUUGGGCUGUUCGCCCAUUAAAGCGGUACGCGAGCUGGGUUCAGAACGUCGUGAGACAGUUCGGUCCCUAUCUGUCGUGGGCGCAGGAUAUUUGAGGAGCGCUGUCCCUAGUACGAGAGGACCGGGAUGGACGCACCGCUGGUGCACCAGUUGUCACGCCAGUGGCACAGCUGGGCAGCUAAGUGCGGAAAGGAUAAACGCUGAAAGCAUCUAAGCGUGAAGCCACCUCCAAGAUAAGAUAUCCCACAGCGUAAGCUGGUAAGACCCCUCAAGGACUAUGAGGUUGAUAGGCUGCAUGUGUAAGUGUUGUGAGACAUUGAGCUUGGCAGUACUAAUAGGUCGAGGGCUUGACCAU